rnacentral:ncRNA from 2 species
UAGCAGGCUGCUGACCGACGGAUUUGUGGGGAUUACCACAGGGAAGGCAGCCGAAGAAAAAGCCGACCGUCUGGGCUGCAUGC